UGGGCAGGUACAGGCUCAGGGACAGGCAGAGAGGUAAGGUGGGCGGGUACAGGCUCAGGGACAGGCAGAGAGGUAAGGUGGGCGGGUACAGGCUCAGGGACAGGCAGAGAGGUUAGGUGGGCGGGUACAGGCUCAGGGACAGGCAGAGAGGUAAGGUGGGCGGGUACAGGCUCAGGGACAGGCAGAGAGGUAAGGUGGGCGGGUACAGGCUCAGGGACAGGCAGAGAGGUAAGGUGGGCGGGUACAGGCUCAGGGACAGGCAGAGAGGUAAGGUGAGCGGGUACAGGCUCAGGGACAGGCAGAGAGGUAAGGUGGGCGGGUACAGGCUCAGGGACAGGCAGAGAGGUAAGGUGGGCGGG
ensembl:lncRNA